GCAUUUCUUGCUGAAAGUUUUAAUUAUAAUUUGUUAUUAUUUCUCUACGAGAAGAGAAUAAAUGUUUUAUUAUUGUUUCUUGAGGAAAACAAUGUCAUAAAUAUACCUACUUUUACAGUUCCCUGACAAUAUGCAAUUUCUAAUUAUCCCGAAAUCCGCGUAAAAACGACUUCAACUAAAAUCGUUUUUUCCAAGUUUUCACGUAUUUCUUGACGAUUUCGAUAAACCGCGUGAAAAAUCCAUGAGGAAAAUCUGCGUAAAAACGUGUUUAUUCCACAAUCUACGUAAAAAUAAAUGAGUUAAAUAAAAAAAACGCGCAUGAGAUGACUCAAGUGCAUUUAACUAAAACACAUAGAAACAUCAAAGUAAUUUAUUAUCGAAUCCUUCUUUAGCUUUAAAUUAUUUAGCUCAAAAUUGGAUCUGUGGCAAUUCGAAUAAACAUAAAACUUAUAAUUUGUGUCGUAACAAUAUCUCAAUUUACAAAACAUGUCGUAUCGGCAUAAUGUUUUAAUCGGUUGCAACUGCUCAAUAAAUAAUAUUGCUUUUUAAAGUCAUCGAGCACAAUUUGCUUGUUUAUAAAUUAACUGUCAAUUCAUGCCAUGAAGGAUGCCUAUCCAACAGGCAACAUACUACACGCAGAUGAAAUUACUCUUAUUCUCUCUGUUUACUCACAUUCGCCAUGCGCUGAAGGUUGUCUCUCCUGCAGGCGGCAUACUAAACACGGAGACAGCUAUCUCUUAUUCUCUCUGUUUACAUUUCGUUUGACAGAACAUACUCGAAUGAACUAGUACAACACCAUUCGAAAUCUUGUACUGCGACUGAAUGAAGUCGAACGAAAUACAUAAUGCCGCAAUUUUUUCGAAACGAAUCGAAAAACUUACGAAUCGAGUGAUUCGAUUCGAGAUGCGCAAUGUCACCCCAGGAAUCACAUCAACGACGACGGAACGAUUCACAACUAAGCGGGGACCAGAUCGCUGUCGUGAUUGAUUGCCCUCCAGGAAAGUUUGAGAAAAAAGGCGAGAAAUUUUCUCCACUUUUAACUGCUGCCGUAGCUUCAUUGCUUCACCUUUUGGAAUCUUUGGUCGCUCACAGGAACCAUCCAAGAGGAUGUAAGACUUCUGCAUCUAAUUAUCAGGACACAGCCGCUUUUUGCGUGUGUGUUAUUAUUUAAAAGAGGACGAAUCUGGACGAAUGAGGAGACAAACUAGUACCGGACGAAGAGAGGAGCACUUUAGGUGAAUGAAAAUUUGGUAACCAAACUGCAGAUUCCUCAGAAGGAUUUGACUACAAAAUGUGUGUUGCUCGCACUUGAUUGAAUCCGAAAUUAAUCCGCUCCAGCAUUAACACUGGAGUAAACCGAGAAGGAAAUCGGCGGAGGUUGUUGUUGAUUAAGCCAUCGGCGAUACAGGAAUGCGUAUCAUUGUCUGUCAUAUGCUGGCGCAUCGCUUGAUCGAAUAAUACGCCGCAAUGAUAACUUAUGGUAGUGGUCAUUCUGGCCAAUUAUAUCUAUACGGAAAACAAUGUGUAUCUCAACCCGUGCGGACUUUGCAGCAUAGAUGAACCAAUGGUGACACUCGGCUGACCUGUCGUAGGAUCAUCAUUGACACCUGCGGAGGCGGGGGAGUACACGACGGUGGUUCUUUUUACGGUUAUGACUUCACCAAGGUCAACCGUUCAGCUGGGUGGCCAAGUUGUUGGUGCAGACCGGAAUCUGCCGGUGCUUGUUUGCAAAUGUAUAUAUCUUCUACAGUUAAUUUGCCAUCGGCCUCGCAUAACUGCAUUCGAUUAUGGUACUUGUCGCGAAUAUUACGGGAAAUCGUAGUUGAAUGGAAGAUAUGUAUACCGGCUAUCAGCUGCUUAGUCGAAAACAUUUCAAACAAGACAAUAAGGAAUAAGCAUUACACAGCGAGAUCAAGGUAGUACACGCGGUGCCGCUUUGCCUAGCGGUUUAAUGUUAUCCUGCGGUUGGCUUUUCCGGAUUUAUUUUUAGCGCAUCCAGUGUUGAUCUCAGCGGAAGUGCCUUCUGCCAGCCAUCGCGCGUUUUAAGUUAAUAUUAAUUUAUAAGAAUAAAAUAAAAACAUAUUAUAAAUUUCGAAACCAAAACUAUUUUUUGUAUAUUUUAGAAUUGCCCAUUUACAAUACAAAUACUCAUAAUGAAAGUUCUUUCAUCUUGUUGUUUUGAAAGCAUUUUGUGAAUACAAAUGGAAAAACACUUUUUAUUUUGAGAGAAAACUGUUGCUUUGACAAACAGAUGAAUCUUGCUGAAACACAGUUUGUGCCUACUUGAUUGCUAAGUUCCUUGAUUGCUUUAUUAGUUGGUUGGUUGCUUGAUUGAUCGUAGCUUGCUUGAAUGGUGAGUUCCUUGAUUGGUUGACUGGUUGGGUGCUUGAUUUGUUAGUUGGUUAAUUGGUUGGCUGCUUGAUUAAUUGGUGGGUUAUUUGGUUGGUCGGCUUGUUAGUUGAUUAGUUGUUUUGUUGGUUGCUUGAAUGGUUAAUUGGUUAGUUGGUUGGUUGAUUGAUUGAUUUGUUAGUUGGUGAAAUGAUUAUUUGCUUGAGUUAGUUGGUUGAUUGAUAGCUUGUUUGAUUCGUUAGUUGCUUGAUUGGUUAAUGGUUGCUUGAUUGAUUGGAAGUGGUCUUGAAUGAUUGUUUGCUUGAUUGGUUAGUUGUUUGAUUGGUUGGUUGCCUAAUUGGUUGGUUAGUUGCUUGAUAGGUUAAUUGGUUGCUUGAUUUAUUUUUUAAUUGAUUGGUAGCUUGCUUGAAUGGUUAAAUGAUUGGUUGCUUGGUUGAUUGGUAAGAUGCUUGAUAGGAUGGUUGUUUAAUAGGAUGGUUGCCUAAUUUAGUUUAUUGGUAGCUUGCUUGAAUGGUUGAUUUAUUUUUUUGUUGUUUGCUUGAAUGGUUUUCAUGUUGGUUGCUUGAAAAGUUGAUUGGGUUACUUGAUUGAUUAGUAGGAUGUUUGAUUAUUUUUUUGUUUCAUUGGUUGGUUGACAGGCUGGUGGGUUGGUAGGUUGUUUGAAUGGUUGGUUGGUUGAUUUGUUAGUUGGUUGAAUGGUUGGUUGGUAGCUCGCUUGAAUGCCUAAUUGUUUUAUUGGUUGGUUAGUUAUUUGGUAGUAUGCUUAAAUGGUUGAUUUAUUGGUUGCUUGGUUUUUUGGUUUGCUGGUUAGUUGAUUAUUUGUUUUUUGGUUGCUUGAUUGGUUGAUUAGUUGGUUGGUUGAUUGAUUGAUUAGUUGAUUUGUUAGUUGGUUAAAUGUUUAAUUGCUUGAUUGGUUGGAAGUUGAUUGGUAGCUUGCUUGAAUGGUUGGUUGGUUGAUUGGUAGAUUGGUUAAUGGUUGCAUGAUUAAUUGGAAGUGGGUUAGAAUGAUUGUUUGUUUGAUUGGUUAGUUGGUUACUUGAUUCGUUUGUUGUUUGGUUGAUUUGCUGGUUAAUUAGUUAUUUGAUUGGAUAAUUGGUUACUUUAUUGAUUGGUUGCUUGAUUGGUAACUUGCUUGAAUGGUUGGUUGCUUGAUUGGUUUAUUGGUUGGUUAGUUCACUGGUAUCUUGCUUAAAUGAUUAAUUGCUUGAUUGGUUUCCCUUGUCAUAAGACGAGUUUGUACAAUCCCAUUGAA